rnacentral:misc_RNA from 1 species
UUCUCGACAAAUGGAUAAUAUAAAAGAAUACUAUAACUAUGUGGAAUUCUGGAUAUAUAGAAAAUAUUUUUUUUAUUCUCAUCCCUUCUUCCAUCAAAAGGAAAAUUUUAAAAAAAAUCUACAAGAUUUACAAAAUUGCUUCUGUUCCUUCUUUCCAAUGCCACUUGACUAGAUUGUAAGCUGCAUUGGAAAGAAGGAACAGAAG